UGGGGUCACACAGAGUCGGACACGACUGAAGCGACAUAGCAGCAGCAGCAGCAGAUUCUAGUUUUCUCAUUUGAUUUAUGGGAGCUAAUGUGAAGCAAUACUUUCAAGAUUCUUAAAAUAACCAAAAUGUGGGGGAUCUCCAUGAGUCCAGGACUGGCUGUAUCCAGAGUACAUCAUGAGAAACGCUGGGCUGGAAGAAGCACAAGCUGGAAUCAAGAUUGCCAG